AUAAGAUACCAGCAUAUGUAUUAACAGCAUUUAUUUAUUGCUAUGUAGAAUAUAUAAUAACAUUAUAAAAUACAUAUUUAUAACACGGCUCCUUUUCCAAAGCAUUACUGAUAGAAUCACCUAGGCAACUGAAUAAUUAAAAACAAAACUUAUCUGAAUCGUAUUAGGUUACCAAAAUAUAAAUUUGUGUUUACUCAUGAUUAUUUGAAAAAUCACAAAGAACUUUGUCAAUCCCAUUUCCUCAAAAUUUCAAGGUAGGAGUUGUAUUAUUUCAAUGUUCAGUUAAACAAUGAACUUGUUCAAACAAAGACCAUUAAAACAAAAGAUAUGUGUGUUGUUUAUAUGGUAUUAUAGUUAAGACUUUGGUAGUCAGAGCUCAAGAUUCCUUCCAUCUAAAUAAAAUCUGUAAUGAAUCAGAUCAACAGGAAAUUAUUUUUAUCAGAUUGCAUAUAUUGCUUGUGGAAUCUCAUGAAGACAAUUAUGACAUUGUACCUAAAGCUUGACCAAGUGCCAUACAUCUACUUUGGUGAUUCCUUCAGGGAAUCUCUCAAUAUUGAUGUUAACAUUGGUGGUUCCCACUUAGAAUCUACUAUAAUGUUAACCUGUUGACUACUGCUUACAGAAUCAUAGCUACAUAUCACGAUUUUAAAGCUUACUAGAUUGUAAAGAGAUUGGUCAAAAACAUGAGAGAUGGAAUCUACAGACAAGGUUUUAAAUACUAUCACAAAAGGGCAAUAACUCUUUCAAAAAAUAGAGAAAUGUAAACAAGAAACCUACUUGUUCUAAGCAAAAAAUAGAGAAAUGUAAACAAGAAGCCUACUUGUUCUAAGCGAAAAAUAGAGAGAUGUAAACAAGAAGCCUACAUGUUCUAAGCAAAAAAUAGAGAAAUGUAAACAAGAAGCCUACAUGUUCUAAGCAAAAAAUAGAGAAAUGUAAACAAGAAGCCUACUUGUUCUAAGCAAAAAAUAGAGAGAUGUAAACAAGAAGCCUACUUGUUCUAAGCCUUUGUUUAAGUUAAUGACAGAGGAUAUAUCCUCCGUUGUACAGCUUCAUUAUAACAUUUCUAGCACUGUUGAUAUGGAAUGAUUUGAUGAUUAAAUGUAAGUAAUAAAUACAACAUCCGUCUGAAAACGACAGUCAAACUUCUAACAAACACUGUAUAACAUCUAUACAUUCAUAUAUAUCCAUAUGUGUGUAUAACUUAUAUAAAUAGUUGGAAAUAUCUUAAUAAGCACUGAUUUGUAUGGAAUGAAUAUCAUAUUUUUUGUUUUCUAAUUCUGUUAUAAACAUACUACUUCCAGGGGAUUUUACAUAAAUAUAUCACCCUUUUCACAUUCAUUACAAAACAUAAAAUCAAUAUUUGUAAUAUUCUUUAAAGAUAUGUGGAUAAUUGUAAAAAAAACAAACUUAAUAUACUUUAAAGCUACAGAGAUGUAUUGUCAUUAAAGACAUUUUGAUGCUUUUCAAAGAUGAUGGAAUGUGUGGGUUUUUAUUUUUCAUUUUCCAAUGAAAUUUUCAUAUUUCGAGAUAACCCAAUAAAAUAUAUACAAAUUAGGUUAUAUGUAUUUCUUAAUUAAAUUUUAGGCUUUUAACCAUUAUAAAGUCCACACAUUUAAUUAUCAGGGGUCAUUGUUUUUGAUUUUUCACUCCAGCCAGCCAUGUCAAUAAUAGAAAAUGAUAGCCUGAUGGUGAAGGGAUCUACCACAUGAUUUAUACAGCUGUCAGGAUCUACCACAUGGUAGAUUUAUACAGCUGUCAGCUUAACUUAUGAGAUCAUUACUGACAAUCCUACUGGAUACCUACACAGCUACAUGAUCCAGAUGACCGAAUCAUAUACCUACCACAAUAACACAUUACACAGGCACUGGUUGCCAUGGAGAACAGAAAAAGCA